UACGUAGGGUGCAAGCGUUGUCCGGAAUUAUUGGGCGUAAAGAGCUCGUAGGCGGUCUGUCACGUCGGCUGUGAAAACCCGAGGCUCAACCUCGGGCCUGCAGUCGAUACGGGCAGACUAGAGUUCGGUAGGGGGAGACUGGAAUUCCUGGUGUAGCGGUGAAAUGCGCAGAUAUCAGGAGGAACACCGGUGGCGAAGGCGGGUCUCUGGGCCGAAACUGACGCUGAGGAGCGAAAGCGUGGGGAGCGAACAGGAUUAG
rnacentral:rRNA from 1 species